GAUGAACGCUGACAGAAUGCUUAACACAUGCAAGUCAACUUGAACUUCGGUUUGGGUGGCGGACGGGUGAGUAACGCGUAAAGAACUUGCCUCACAGCUAGGGACAACAUUUGGAAACGAAUGCUAAUACCUGAUAUUAUGAUUUUAGGGCAUCCUAUAAUUAUGAAAGCUAUAUGCGCUGUGAGAGAGCUUUGCGUCCCAUUAGCUAGUUGGAGAGGUAACGGCUCACCAAGGCGAUGAUGGGUAGCCGGCCUGAGAGGGUGAACGGCCACAAGGGGACUGAGACACGGCCCUUACUCAUACGGGAGGCAGCAGUGGGGAAUAUUGGACAAUGGACCAAGAGUCUGAUCCAGCAAUUCUGUGUGCACGAUGAAGUUUUUCGGAAUGUAAAGUGCUUUCAGUUGGGAAGAAAAAAAUGACGGUACCAACAGAAGAAGUGACGGCUAAAUACGUG
rnacentral:rRNA from 1 species